rnacentral:rRNA from 1 species
CAGUAGCCGCGGGAAUACGUAGGGUGCAAGCGUUAAUCGGAAUUACUGGGCGUAAAGCGUGCGCAGGCGGUUAUAUAAGACAGAUGUGAAAUCCCCGGGCUCAACCUGGGAACUGCAUUUGUGACUGUAUAGCUAGAGUACGGCAGAGGGAGAUGGAAUUCCGCGUGUAGCAGUGAAAUGCGUAGAUAUGCGGAGGAACACCGAUGGCGAAGGCAAUCCCCUGGGCCUGUACUGACGCUCAUGCACGAAAGCGUGGGGAGCAAACAGGAUUAGAUACCCCUGUAGUCCCUGUCUCUUAUAA